CUUGGAAGUUGCCAUCAAUGACCACAAUGCUACUGUAGGGGAAGCUGAAAAACUGCCUUCUCCCAAUAAACUCCUGGCUGUGGACAACUACUCCUGGCCAUGGGAAUGUAAUGGUGAUAUGGAGCGGGAAAAAAAAUGUUUUUGACAAGGUGAUGCUACUGGCUAGACUGAAAGAAGAAGAAUUUAUUGUGGUUCGCGAAGUCAAGCAGCACAUGGAGUACAUGAAGAGUGUUGCUGGACAGAUUGAAGAGUUUACCUUUCAGCUCACUGAAGACACCAAUGGAAAAUGCAGUACAGAAGGCUUAAUGGAGAACGGACGUGAGGGACUACUCUGUGUGCUGAAGAGAAGAUUGUGUGAAGUUGCAGCACAACUGGCUACAGCACGCACAACAUACAAAAGUAUUCUUGGACUGCAAACAUUGCCCUUAGAUGACUUUUCUGAAGAGGAAGACUCAGAGAAUACUUCCUCAACUGAUGAGGAACUGGGAGAGUAGUUAUUAGGGAGAUGAUGUGUAUGACUCUAAGAAGAUGUCUUCACAUUGUGUUGAACCCAUCAGUGCUGUGUUAACUUGUAUGUGAAACCUAAGGUUAUUUUACUGCUGUUGUACGAUUUCUUUGUGUUUAGAGAAUGUACUGCAAAUUCCUCUCAUCCCCAUUAAUCCCCACCCUCUGCCCCAACCCAAUCACUGGUGAUUCACAACUGUCAAACAUGUUUUUUUUUUUUUUUAUUUAGCAUUACAUUUUUAAUCGUUUUGUAUUGAACAUCCCUACAUAGCUUCGCUAUAGUUUGUAUAUAUUGUACCUACUGUAGUUUACAUUGUCUAUUGUAUUGUUACUCUCUCCAACAGUGUGCUACUCUAGCUUAUUUUUCCACACGUUAGUAUAUUAAUACUCACUCUCUGUCUCUUACACACUCACGCUCUCUCUCACUCGCUCACACACGCACACAGACACCCCUACCUAUCUGAAGAUAUAUAGUCUUUAUUUUGAACAGGGCAUAGUCUCUUAGCUCUAAAAAGCCUACAUUAUUUAUUUCACCCAGUAAAGUGAACUGUUUCAAUUA